rnacentral:tRNA from 1 species
GUGGCUGUGGCUCGGUGGUAGAGCGCUCGCCUAGCAUGCGUGAGGCCCCGGGUUCGAUCCUCAGCACCACA